AGAGUUUGAUCCUGGCUCAGAACGAACGCUGGCGGCAGGCCUAACACAUGCAAGUCGAGCGAACCCUUCGGGGUUAGCGGCGGACGGGUUAGUAACGCGUGGGAAUAUGCCCUUCUCUACGGAAUAGCCUCGGGAAACUGAGAGUAAUACCGUAUACGCCCUUCGGGGGAAAGAUUUAUCGGAGAAGGAUUAGCCCGCGUUGGAUUAGGUAGUUGGUGGGGUAAUGGCCUACCAAGCCUACGAUCCAUAGCUGGUUUGAGAGGAUGAUCAGCAACACUGGGACUGAGACACGGCCCAGACUCCUACGGGAGGCAGCAGUGGGGAAUCUUAGACAAUGGGGGAAACCCUGAUCUAGCCAUGCCGCGUGAGUGACGAAGGCCCUAGGGUCGUAAAGCUCUUUCGCCAGGGAAGAUAAUGACGGUACCUGGUAAAGAAGUCCCGGCUAACUCCGUGCCAGCAGCCGCGGUAAUACGGAGGGGACUAGCGUUGUUCGGAAUUACUGGGCGUAAAGCGCACGUAGGCGGAUUAGUAAGUUAGAGGUGAAAUCCCAGGGCUCAACCCUGGAACUGCCUUUAAUACUGCUAGUCUUGAGUCCGAGAGAGGUGAGUGGAAUUCCGAGUGUAGAGGUGAAAUUCGUAGAUAUUCGGAGGAACACCAGUGGCGAAUGCGGCUCACUGGCUCGAUACUGACGCUGAGGUGCGAAAGCGUGGGGAGCAAAC
rnacentral:rRNA from 1 species